rnacentral:misc_RNA from 1 species
GGAAGUAAAAGUUGUAACAAGGUUUCCGUAGGUGAACCUGCGGAAGGAUCAUUAAUGUGUUUGGGCCUCACGGCUCUUCAUUCCGACGCUGUGCGCCUUCGGGCUGCACGCUGAGGGAGCAUAUAUCCACCCCUGUGCACACACACGGUGGCGAGCUGGGUAACGGCUCGCCGCUGAUCUUUACACACGUCUGAAAGUCAUUGUAUGUUUAUUUGAGAUAAAAACACAACUUUCAGCAACGGAUCUCUUGGCUCUC